UUAAUUAUUUGGGUGGGUAUCAAUAUAUUUUUUUCCCUCUCUCUCAGUUCUUUCUAGAAAUCAAAAGCUCUGCUUCUGUUACUAUUGGAUAAUCUCUGGAUAUUUUUCUCUUCUUUGAUGGUUUUGUUUCUUUCUUGGAUUUAGCACUGCUUUUCUCCCGGAAAAUUGAUUCCUUUAUCAUUUUCUGUUAGAAAGAAAAUUUGCAGUCUUAUUCCCAAGCCAAUUCCACUAGCCUCCAUAUCAUUACCACAGAAAACAUGGGUUUCUUUUGAAAACUAGACUCUGAUUUUUCUCAGCUAAAACUACAAACUUUUUCUCAUCAUUUCCUCAUUUUCUUGGCAGAUUUUGAUUAAACUUCAAGAAUUAACGUUGGAUUUUGUGGUGUCACUUGAUAGAUGUUGUUUCUUGGAUUUUGAAUAACGCACAGUCAAGAGUGGAGGGAGGCUAAACAGAAUUAGAAGAAACAGAGCAUACCAAAUUUAAGCAAUCACUUUCUCGUAGAGGUUUCUUUUUUACUUUCCCGAACGAAAAUUAUGCCGGAAAUUUGUGUUUCCGGUGGCGCUGGAUUUUGACAACAUUGCCAUUCACCUGCCAAGACUUUCUCCAGAAACAGAGAGAUAUAUAUUUUGAGUUUUUCUUUCUCUUUUCUUUUAUUUUAUAUUUAGCUGUCUAAAGUCUAAGCGUCAAAAAAUAGGAUUCUCUCGCAUUUCUGUUUCUCUUCGUCACUCUUUCUAUCUCUAAAAGGAAAUAAAAUCCCGACAAUUUCUCCCCCUCUCCCUCUCUUUUUCUCUCCCUCCUCCUCUUUUUGUUUCUCUCCUCUGUUUUUUCUCUUCUGGGUUGGGAGGGAAACUAAAUUUCUCUCCUUUCUUUCUCUUUUUUUCCAUCUCUCUCUUCCUCUUUGUCCUCGAAACCAUGAUUUUUGAAAAGGGGUCAGCCCAAUCAAACCUUGACUGCUUCCUUCAUUGCACAACCCCAGUAGUUCCAUCCCAAUUCCUCCCCAAGACAGAGAUUAGAAACUUAAACCGUCUAUGGCAUCCGUGGGAGAGAGAAACAGUUGAGUAUUUUACCUUGGGUGAUCUAUGGAAUUGUUUUGAUGAAUGGAGCGCGUAUGGGGCUGGAGUUCCAAUUGUCUUGAGCAAUGGUGAAACCUUAGUUCAGUACUAUGUCCCUUAUCUCUCUGCAAUCCAAAUUUUCACAAGCAAUUCCUCCAUGAACGGUUUCAGGUAACAGAUCGAGUCCGGUGACGGUGAGACGAGGGAUUCAUUUAGUGAUUCUUGCAGUGAAGAGAGUGAGAGUGACAAGUUAUGGAGGUGGGAUGGAGGCUCUUCAGAGGAAGGAGGAUUCGAGCAAGACAAUCUUUGGCGUCUCAAUGAUAGAUUGGGUUACUUAUAUUUUCAGUAUUUUGAGAGAUCAACUCCUUAUGGAAGAGUUCCUUUGAUGGAUAAGAUUAAUGGAUUGGCUCAAAGAUACCCGGGUUUGAUGUCAUUGCGAAGUGUGGAUCUUUCACCAGCUAGUUGGAUGGCUGUUGCUUGGUACCCAAUCUAUCACAUUCCCAUGGGGAGAACCAUAAAGGACUUGUCCACAUGCUUUCUCACAUACCACACCCUUUCAUCAUCUUUUCAAGAUAUGGACAUAGAUGACGACAUUGAGAGUCCGGAAAGGAAGCGAAAGGAAGGAGAAAGCAUCUCGCUGCCGCCAUUUGGUUUGGCCACUUACAAGAUGCAGGGAAAUGUGUGGGUCUCAGGCAAUUGUGGCAGGGACCAAGAAAGGCUGGUGUCACUUUUGAGUGUGGCAGAUUCGUGGCUAAAGCAACUGAGGGUCCAGCACCAUGACUUCAAUUACUUCACAGGGAUUAGGCGUGGCUAAAACCACUACUUUUAACAAUGCACUUUUUUAAACCCGUGAAAAUAGCUAAUCACUAAAUCCUCCUUUUUGGUUGGGAUUUCUGGUUUCGUGCUUAAGGGACUUGUAUGUGAGGAUUGUGGUAUGGUUUCUCGCUAUCGAGCAUUGCAUAUGAGUUUUAUUUUAGGUCUAAUCCAGGUAUUGAGGUUUGAUCAUCAAAGAGGGUGUGUGACAUGAGUAAACCCUCAUUUUUUUUUCUUUCUGCUGAUCUAUAAAGUGGCUAAUGGGGCUUUCCUUUGUGUAGAGUUAUGGAUGAAGUCCGAGAGAGAUAAAGAGAAAAUGCUAGCUCUUCAACCUUUUAACUUUUUUCUGGAUUGUGUAACAUUCCCUUGACCAUAGUGGUACCACUGGAAAUGAGCAGAGUGUUGAAGUUGUUGUAAGUUCUUGUCUUUAUUGUUUCAUACAAAUAUGUGCAAAUUAGACCUA